rnacentral:rRNA from 1 species
AUUGAACGCUGGCGGCAGGCUUAACACAUGCAAGUCGAGCGGGGUGAUGGUGCUUGCACUAUCACUUAGCGGCGGACGGGUGAGUAAUGCUUAGGAAUCUGCCUAUUAGUGGGGGACAACAUCUCGAAAGGGAUGCUAAUACCGCAUACGUCCUACGGGAGAAAGCAGGGGAUCACUUGUGCCCUUGCGCUAAAAGAUGAGCCUAAGUCGGAUUAGCUAGUUGGUGGGGUAAAGGCCUACCAAGGCGACGAUCUGUAGCGGGUCUGAGAGGAUGAUCCGCCACACUGGGACUGAGACACGGCCCAGACUCCUACGGGUGGCAGCAGUGGGGAAUAUUGGACAAUGGGGGGAACCCUGAUCCAGCCAUGCCGCGUGUGUGAAGAAGGCCUUAUGGUUGUAAAGCACUUUAAGCGAGGAGGAGGCUCUUUUGGUUAAUACCCAAGAUGAGAGGACGUUACUCGCAGAAUAAGCACCGGCUAACUCUGUGCCAGCCGCCGCAGUAA